rnacentral:rRNA from 1 species
AGCUCAAAUUUGAAAGCUGGUACCUUCGGUAUCCGCGUUGUAACCUCGAGACACGUUUUCCGUGCGGCGCUAUGGACAAGUUCCUUGGAACAGGACAUCGUAGAGGGUGAAAAUCCCGUACUUGCCAUGGAUGUACCGUGCUUUGCGAUACGUGCUCUAAGAGUCGAGUUGUUUGGGAUUGCAGCUCAAAAUGGGUGGUAGACUCCAUCUAAAGCUAAAUAUCGGGGAGAGACCGAUAGCGAACAAGUACCGUGAGGGAAAGAUGAAAAGCACUUUGGAAAGAGAGUUAAAAGUACGUGAAAUUGUCGAAAGGGAAGCGCUUGAAGUCAGCCAUGCCGCUCAGGACUCAGCCUGGCUUUUGCUUGGUGUAUUUCCUGGGUAGCAAGUCAGCAUUGGUUUGGAUCGUCGGAGAAGCAUAGUCGGAAUGUGGCGCCCUCGGGCGUGUUAUAGCCUUCUAUUGGAUACGACGAUCUAGACCAAGGAACGCAGCGCGCCUUAUGGCGGGUCUUCGGACACCUUCGCGCUUAGGAUGCUGGCGUAAUGGCUUUAAGUGGCCCGUCUU